GGGUUUUAGUUAUAUUAAAAAAUUGGUACAAAUUUACUUCAAAAUUUUAUUUUCAAAAAGCUUCCAGGAGAUGUUAAUUGGCUAAGACCUCACCUUAAAUUCACCACAAGAGAACCUAAGCCUUUAUUAGGUACUAUCAAGUGAGAUUCAAGUUAACUGGUGAGAACUAAAAAGGCUUUAACAGAAAGUAGAGAAAACUUCUAUAAUAUAUUGAUAUCGAUUGUAAUUGAUGGCAAUCAAAUAUUAGCUACAUAUUCUAGUUAUUGUUAUUAAAUGUGUCCACAGCUAUUCUUUGGCAAGAAAAAACAUUAAUGUAAAAAUCAUCUUUCUUCACCUCAAAGUUUUAACAUCCUAUUAUAUAUAAGGCUGCUGUGGUACUAAUUAAAAAUUAAAAAUUCUUUUUUCCAAACAGCUAUUAGUUAUUACAAAAUAUUGAUAUUUGACCUAUUGCAUACCAUCAUUUUAAAUAAAAUUAAUAUUCAUCUUAAAAAUAAGCUAAUUGCUUAUUAUACAUACUUUUGUAAAUUCAUACAUACAUGCAUCCCAUUUACUGUAUUUAAAAACAACCUUUCUAUGGAAAGAAAAAUAUAUGUAAAUUGGAUCACAUGUUUAUUCUUUUGAGUUUCUGCCUACUUCAGCACAGAUAAUUAAAUUAUGUGCUGUAGAUAGUGUUUUAAAAUGUUAAAGAUUGCCUGGUAAAAACCUCUUAAGGCAAUGCCACGCUAGAUUUCUAUCCCAGGUAAAUUAUAGAUCUUAUAAAAAAAAUAAAUGCCAUAUAAUCUCAUUCUUUACAUCAUCAAAAUAGUAAUGCUUGAGAUAAUAAUUUGGUAUUUAAAAUAAAUAAAUAAAUUAAUUAAUUAAUGUGCAUGUCAUAUUGUAAAGAUUUGAUCUCAGUGUCCUCAGUUUCUACCUGUUAUACACAUUGGUAUUAAUUCUUGAGGACGUAUACUUAAUCAAUUAUUACAAAUAGAUACUUUUUAAUUUUACAAAAAUAAAUCAUGCACAUGUGACUAUUGAUACCUUUUUAAUCUUUCUAAUUACAACUGCUCUAAUAAAAAUAGCAACUAAAAGUAUCGUUGCCUAUGUUGAUUUUUUUACUUGGUGUUCCAAAUCAAUUAAAACUGGCUAUUAUAGCCAAGCAUUUGAGAUGUUUUAUCAACAAUUUAAUGUUAUCCAUGUUACUGAGAUUUUUAUUAUUCCCAAGGAAACAGUACUGUGGAACCUUAAAUCUAUAUCUUUUAAAAAUUUAGAUGUCAAAAAUCUCUCUAAGUGUCUAUGGCACCCUACAAUCAGACAUACUCAUGAGAUAAAGGGAUCCACUUAUUGGCACAUGGUAUGAUCCUGUUCAGAUACUUAAUAUGGGGGAGAGGGGGCAAUAUUUCUGUUUUUUCCACAGAAUGCUACAAGAGCGUGCUAGCUCCCAAAAUGAUUCAUGUGACAGGCUGACCUGUGAGUUCCUGAGUGCCCCGACAGUGGUGACCAGAAAGCUGUAUUGAGUGCACAGAGGAAAAAGAAAUCAGUCACUCAUAAGCAAAAUAAAGAAACUCUUCCUAUCUCCGCCAUGGACUACAACAAGGAGAGCAGACCUAGUGUCAACUUGGAGACAACUAAAACAGCUGACUCGUGAGGUGGAAGGACUGCUACAAAGUAUUGGACAAGAUUUCAUCAGAGACUGUUUUUGGCCAUUCAGGCCAACUCCCCUAUAGCUAUAAAAGCUUGUGUACCUUACCUGUAUGCUUAUUGUUAAAUGAUUUUAAGAGUUAAGAUCACCAAUCUUAACAAGUCUUUUUAUAUACAUUGUAAUUCCUGUCAAUUAACUAAUUGUGUAGAACCUAAUUUAGACAAGGAAUCUGCUAUUAUGAUUUUGCUUAAGAGACCUGGAUAUAUUUUACUGCCUGUAGAGUUAGGAAACGAUCCUUGGUUUGAGAAUUCGGGAUUGCAAGCUUUAAAAAGACUAAAAGAACUUAUUAGACCUAAGAGAUUUGUAGCAGCUUUGAUCCUGGGAAUUACUGCUUUAAUUGCUAUUUUAACUUCCUUUACGUUAUCCACCACAGCCUUAGUACAGCAACAACAUACUGCUCACUUUGUUAAUGACAUGCAUAAGAAUAUCUCUGUAGCUUUGUCAGAGCUGUAUUUUAUAGAUAAAAAAUUAGAAGCAAAGGUUAACGCCCUAGAAGAAGUCGUGCUGGCAAUAGGGCAAGAUAUUGCUAAUAUCAAGACCAGGUUAGCUACUAAAUGUCAUGCUUCUUUCCAAUACAUUUGUGUUACUCCAUUACCUUACAACGCCACAACUAACUGGGAAAAGACAAAAACUCAUUUACAGGGUAUAUGGAAAGAUACUGAUAUUUCUCAUGACUUAGAACAGUUAAAGGUAAAAAUUUCAGAUAUUAGUAAAAGCCAUCUGGACACUUGGAACAUUGAUGAAUUGGCUAGAGAUUUAAAGAACAACUUAAGUGCAUUAAACCCUCUGGAUUGGGUUCAAUAUAUUAUCCUACUUGUUAUUAUUUUUGGCAUUACUUUAUUAGUAAUCAUUGUGUUUCCACUCAUCUUUAGAGUGCUCCUGAGAUCUGUAGCUACGACGAAGCGGGACAUCCUGGAACUUCGGCUGAGAAAUAAAGAUAAAUUAUCAAUUAUUAAAAAAAAAAGGGUGGAAUGCCAGGGACUCUGGUGGAGUCAGCUUGACAAAGCGAAAGCUGGGAAGCUGAUUCAUGAAGCAAAGAGUUUCAAGGAAACUCCCUUCCCGGGGGCUUGGCAUUUUCUCCCUAAUCUAUAUAAACCAUAAAAUUAAUUUUUCCAUUCCCACAUUAGUCUAGUGUAUAGAUCCACGUGCACUCUAUAUAGUAUUACCUUAUAGUAAAUGCCUUUUAAGAUUGUAUUCUAACAUAGCUAAAGCCUUUUUCCAGUGUUCUUAGAUUCCAGAUAGCAGCAAGGAGCUUAACCUAUUCAGUUAACAAUUAAGCACUUGCCAUUUUACUCAGCUGUUUACAGAUAGAGACUAAAAGCCUCACUGAGAUAGAAAUCUUUUACUACAGGCUACUUCCAUGUCAAGUAUAAGUUGAUAUACUACCCUGAUAAGGGGAAACUCUCCAGACAAGAUAAGUUUUAUUAGACCUAAGAAUUUAGAGCUCUGUGAUAGCGCAUUACUCUUAAGGCCUGUCAAGAGUUAACAACCCCCUGAUGCUUUUAACAUUAAAGUGUGAAAUUCUUGCCUGGCAUUAGGCUGAUCCUAGGCAGGGCUUGUUAUCCCUAAUGUAAACAUUUAACUAGUCCCUGUAAAUUCCUUUCUGCUGUAACUGGUGAAUUUCAGUGUAUCUUGUCUUUUUGUGAUUUGUAUCCUCUGAUAAUUCGUUGUUAUAUAAGUCUGAAGCUCAACCAGAACAAUACAUUCAGAUUC
rnacentral:lncRNA from 1 species